ACUUGCAUGUUAAAUACAUGAAAAGAGUGCAUCAAAAUCAGCAUAGCUAUAGCUGAAUGUAAAAGAAAUAAAUUUGGAUGUUGGAUCCAUGUAUGUGCGACUAUUUUGUUUCUAAGCUAUUUUUUUUAAGUAUGGUAAAAAUGCAAGUAAUUCAUAAACUAUCUGGGGACAAAAGAAUGUACACAAGGGAGGAGUGGCAUAAGAAAAUCAACUGGCGCUAGGAGAAUACAUUUGUAUAAUAAAGUACAUAAUGUGUCUCCUCGGAUGCCCGUUAAUUUAUUAGUUUGUAACUACUCUUUCAAGCUGCACCUCUCGCCACAAGUUAAGGCGAGAAGAGGAGAGAAAUUGGUCAGUUUGGCCCGGCUGUCCAGGAGGAACUGAGCUCAUAACUACUGGAUUAAUUCAUCUAUUUAAUUACCGUCAAGGAAAUUACAAUAGCAGGUGAACAGGCCACAACACCUUGAAUUUCAGAAACAUCGUCGUUGUCCCUGCUUGUAAGCUUAUCACUGAUAGAAAGGAGCAACCUAGAUGUCUUCCUCCCUAGCUGCAGAGUCAGGUGGCCAAAAAACACCAUUGCCAUGCUAGAAGAUCAGAGAUUGUUGAAUGCUCACCUCAUAUACGCAAGUGAGAGCAGAUCUAUAUACAACACAACAAAGAUGGGGGCUGGAUCCAGCAUUCCUCCAAGCUGUCGGAAUGAAGGGUUCAGUUUUCCAGCUUCCUGAUGCUGUUUGUUUGGCCCAUGGAUCCAAAUAAACUGACCUGAAACACAUUGAGUAAGAAGCAAUCUCACCGAUACACUUAUGUGAAUUAAGGUUUUGUUUCAAAUUACAAAGGAACAAAUAAUUCACAGUCCAGAAUAUAUAUCAAAUUAAUAAAAUCCAUCCCAACAUUUUGUACAUGGAGUUCUCAAUAGCAGUAUGAUAAUUAAUCUCUUCUUUUUUUGGCUAACUUGGCUAAUCUGGUCAUAUAUGCAACAUGGCUAUAGAAGGGGUAUGCAGAAACAGAUCAUGUAGUACAUAGUAAGAUGAGAAUGUAAUAAUUCGCAGCCACUAAGGCAACCAAACCUCACGCUCACCUGAAUCCAAAAAAUCCACAAAUGCACACCCGUCAGAGCAUGUUGGAAAUAAAAAGACAAUCAGAUCCGCCUUGACUCACUGGACCGGAAAACCAACAGCGCCGACAUACAUACACCCACAAAACAGGGGACUAAUCUGUAGUUCUGUACACACAACACACAUGUCAGCACCAGAACAGAUCGAUG
rnacentral:lncRNA from 1 species